ensembl:lncRNA
CAUGAACUGAAUGCUGUAAUUUUGACAGCUGGCAAGGUGUGGUGAGGCGGGAGCCGGGGUGAAACCUCGUAUCUCAAGACCGUUGAUGAAUGACUCUAAUUAAGGGAUGAAAUCAAGCAUGUGAAGACAGGGGAUCGCUUUAGGUCGCUGUUUGGUAGUUUUCUGCUCCCGGUGCCGGACUCAUCCAUCUAAAUAUCACUGUUUUUUGCUCUCUUCUGAGUGCUGGAGGAGGGGCAGAGGAGUUCUGAUGGGUCAGGGACAGACAGGAGGCUUGGCUGUGUGCCGGAGCAGGACCACAGCAUUUUAAUAAUGGUCAUUUGUGCGAUUAUUCCAAAGCAUCAGCGGCACGGAGGAAAGGGGAUUUCUCAUCGCCUCCUGCCCGCUCAUCUGCGGCAUUACUCAGUUUGCAGGCCAGCAAGGAGAAAGUUAAUAGCCUGGGCUUAGAAGUCAGCCUGCUCAAGUCCAAAUUACAGGAAAAGACAGAACAAUCUCAACAGCUGCAAGAUCAAAUUCUCAAACAGCAGGAGGCUCUAUAUAGGGCAAGCCAAACUCUCAAAGACACCAGGAAAGCAGCUGGCAAUAAGGUAAAAAGAGCCUCUCU